AGCGGUAACACAAGGGAGCUUGCUCCUGAGGUGACGAGCGGCGGACGGGUGAGUAAUGCCUAGGGAUCUGCCCAGUCGAGGGGGAUAACAGUUGGAAACGACUGCUAAUACCGCAUACGCCCUACGGGGGAAAGGAGGGGACCUUCGGGCCUUCCGCGAUUGGAUGAACCUAGGUGGGAUUAGCUAGUUGGUGAGGUAAUGGCUCACCAAGGCGACGAUCCCUAGCUGUUCUGAGAGGAUGAUCAGCCACACUGGGACUGAGACACGGCCCAGACUCCUACGGGAGGCAGCAGUGGGGAAUAUUGCACAAUGGGGGAAACCCUGAUGCAGCCAUGCCGCGUGUGUGAAGAAGGCCUUCGGGUUGUAAAGCACUUUCAGUAGGGAGGAAAGGUGGUGUGUUAAUAACCCAUUACUGUGACGUUACCUACAGAAGAAGGACCGGCUAACUCCGUGCCAGCAGCCGCGGUAAUACGGAGGGUCCGAGCGUUAAUCGGAAUUACUGGGCGUAAAGCGUGCGCAGGCGGUUUGUUAAGCCAGAUGUGAAAU
rnacentral:rRNA from 1 species